AUUUUGUUUUAUUUCUAGUUGCUGUUAUUUUUAUUAAAGGCAGCACAGGAUAAUCCUAUGUUGGCUGAAUUGAAGGAUGGUGAGAUGUACAUGUACAUGUACAUGUAUAAUGGUCAUAUAGCAAUUGUCAUGUGAUAACUGGAUGAACAUUCAACUGAAAGAAGUUAUAUUAUGUACAUCAAGAGAUGGUGAUAGGUUUUGGAAGAUGCCAGAGUGUUUCAUAAGAGGCAGUAUGAUUAAAUAGUGAUGAGGUAUAUUAUACUUGACA